rnacentral:rRNA from 1 species
UACGAAGGGGGCUAGCGUUGUUCGGAAUUACUGGGCGUAAAGGGCGCGUAGGCGGCGCGGUAAGUCACUUGUGAAAUCUCUGAGCUUAACUCAGAACGGCCAAGUGAUACUGCAGUGCUAGAGUGUGGAAGGGGCAAUCGGAAUUCUUGGUGUAGCGGUGAAAUGCGUAGAUAUCAAGAGGAACACCUGAGGUGAAGACGGGUUGCUGGGCCAACACUGACGCUGAGGCGCGAAAGCCAGGGGAGCAAACGGG